rnacentral:lncRNA from 1 species
CGAAGAUAUUGGUCUGGAAGUGUAAGAAUAGCGAUUAGGAUUCGCAUUUCAGGUUCUUCGGACGAGGAAGAAGUUGUGGCGAGUGUGUUGUUUGAGAGAGCACAUUUACUGAAUCCUAGUAGACUAUCGAAUCGAACUUCGUUUAUUGAAGCUAACACGCAGAGAAAGAAGAUGAAGAUGAAGCAAUAGAACAGGAACAAACUUCGACCACGGUUUUUUGGUUCUGGAGAUUUUACCAUCAUUGGAAUAUUGAUUCUUGAAGCUUCAGAAAAUGUGAAGCUUUUCAAGCAAAAAAGAAAGGAUUUGAGGGUAGAGGCUUGUGAAUAUGAG